ACUCCGUGUCAAACGGAACCCCGAUUACCCCACCCGUUUACGGAUGCAAACUGCCAACAAAUGCAGUCGCAUGUUUAAUUGGGAACAGGCACCGUGGGAUAUUAACGUGGGGGGGAGACAGUAAUUAAGGCUGCCGCUUCCUCGGGGAGACGACCUCAGCGGAUCGAGCUGGCGGCAUCUCCGGGCACCCGCUCCGGAGGCGCGGCCAGAAGAUCGCUCCGGGAGUGAGGGGGAGGAAGAGGAGGAGCUGUCCCACUUCGUCCAUCCUCUUCACACAUCGUCUAACUGAUGAGCCGGUGUUGAGCUCUCGCCGCGCUCCCUGCCGACUCCCGUGAUCUUAUGUUUAUUUAGCGGAUCGUUUUACACAUAGCGAUGAACAAACAAGGCAAGACGGGGAGCAGGGCUGGCCAGCAUCCCUGAAGUCGUAGGGGUUAAGGACCUCGCUGAAAGACCCAGCGGUGGCACCGGCAAUUUACAAGUGGGUUGGAAAAAUGAAGCAUGUGGAAGACACAUCGUGGAGGUCACGCGAAACAAAAAAAUAUCUGUGAUGCGAUGGAAGGCACCAGAGCAGCGAGAAGCCGGCGCGUUCCUGGGAAGAAUCCGGGGCCCUGGAAAACUGCGCGGGGAGCCGGUUCCCCUGACUGGGACUCUCUCACAUGUACUGGAAUCUAUCAAAGACUGAUGAGCAGACCCAGGCAGAAAUCCCCCAUAGGUGAUGAUGCUGAACACAGAGCUGACGGGGGCCUACCACUUCAAAGCCACUAAAAUGCGCCGGCUUAUAAGGCUUGACAAAGGGGGGCAGAAAAGCGGCAGAAUGCACUGUCUUAGCAAUGAUGUUAUUUAUUUAUUUUCUCCGAAUAAAUAAAUAUUUUGACACAGCUGA